rnacentral:lncRNA from 1 species
CUAAUAAUAAGUAUCAUUCUUUUGAGAAAGGUCACAGUUUUCCUUGCCCUUAUAAUUUUUUACCUUCGAUUUCUUCUAAAAUGAAUUUGGCAAAAGUUCACCUUACUGCCUACUUACGUAAGGACAUCAAAACUAUGACUGCGUCAAAAUAAUUUAAAGAGAACUUGUACCUGUUCUUGAGGGUUCCAUGUGGGGCUGACACUGGAAGAUGUUUUGGUAUUUAACCAUCAUUUCCUCCUGAGAUGGGAUGCAUACCAACUGGCAGUCUGGGGCGAGAGACACUGCUAAGGCUGCCGCCGAGGAUCCCUGCUCAUCCGGGUUUGCUCCAAGUUAUUACUGUCAAGCUGUACGAGAACGCAGGCCAGAUCUAGAUUGUGACUGAGGAGUAGCGUGGAGCCUCGCUGGAUGACUGAGUGAAGUAUCAGGUCAUCCAUCUUCUGCAUUGUUAUCCAACGAUACCAAGCCCACUCCUGUUCUUUGCCCUCGU